UCUGGAUGUUGGGUACCAUUGCUAGAUAGUUAUUUCGAUUGAUAUUGAAAUCUAUUCCUAUGCUAUCAGUCUAUAUUCAAAUUUAUGGGGUCACAUAUAUUAGAAGUACAUCUCCGAUCAUAUAGCUGAUCUGAAGAGUCCCACUAGAUUGGGACUCUACUGAAGAGUCCCACUGGAUUGGGACUCUAUUAUUAAUGAAGGAUUAAUCAAUGAUUAGAUCACUAAUUAGCUCAAUUUGAUUGAGCAUUAA
rnacentral:lncRNA from 1 species